CCUACGGGUGGCAGCAGUGAGGAAUAUUGGUCAAUGGGCGCGAGCCUGAACCAGCCAAGUAGCGUGACGGAUGACUGCCCUACGGGUUGUAAACUUCUUUUAUAAAGGAAUAAAGUGAGGCACGUGUGCCUUUUUGUAUGUACUUUAUGAAUAAGGAUCGGCUAACUCCAGGCCAGCAGCCGCGGUAAUACGGAGGAUCCGAGCGUUAUCCGGAUUUAUUUGGUUGAAAGGGAGCGUAGAUGGGUUGGUAAGUCAGUUGUGAAAGUUUGCGGCGCAACCGUAAAAUUGCAAUUGAUACUGGCAGUCUUGAGUACAGUUGAGGUAGGCGGAAUUCGUGGUGUAGCGGUGAAAUGCUUAGAUAUCACGAAGAACUCCGAUUGCGAAGGCAGCUUACUAAACUGACACUGACAUUGAUGCUCGAAAGUGUGGGUAUCAAACAGGAUUAGAUACCCCAGUAGUC
rnacentral:rRNA from 1 species